rnacentral:rRNA from 1 species
CUGGCUCAGAACGAACGCUGGCGGCGCGUUUAAGCAUGCAAGUCGAGCGGCAAGGGCCUUCGGGCCCCUAGAGCGGCGGACGGGUGAGUAACACGUGGACAAUCUCGCCCCCCGGCCCGGGAUAGCCCAGGGAAACCUGGAUUAAUACCGGAUGAGACGGGACCCGCGAUGGCGGGAUCCGGGAAAGGCGCUGCGGCGCCGCCGGGGGAUGAGUCUGCGUCCCAUUAGCUAGACGGCGGGGUAACGGCCCACCGUGGCGACGAUGGGUAGCCCGGCCUGAGAGGGUGGACGGCCACAUUGGAACUGAGACACGGUCCAGACUCCUACGGGAGGCAGCAGCUAAGAAUCUUCCGCAAUGGGGCGAAAGCCUGACGGAGCGACGCCCGCGUGAACGGAGAAGGCCGUGAGGUUGUAAAGUUCUUUUCGGGAGGGGGAACAACCGUGGCAGGGAAUGGCCGCGGGAUGACGUGAAUCCCGGAAUAAGCCCCGGCUAACUACGUGCCAGCAGCCGC